GACGAACGCUGGCGGCGUGCCUAAUACAUGCAAGUAGAACGCACAGUUUAUACCGUAGCUUGCUACACCAUAGACUGUGAGUUGCGAACGGGUGAGUAACGCGUAGGUAACCUGCCUGGUAGCGGGGGAUAACUAUUGGAAACGAUAGCUAAUACCGCAUAAUAUUAAUUAUUGCAUGAUAAUUAAUUGAAAGGUGCAAUCGCACCACUACCAGAUGGACCUGCGUUGUAUUAGCUAGUAGGUGAGGUAACGGCUCACCUAGGCGACGAUACAUAGCCGACCUGAGAGGGUGAUAGGCCACACUGGGACUGAGACACGGCCCAGACUCCUACGGGAGGCAGCAGUAGGGAAUCUUCGGCAAUGGACGAAAGUCUGACCGAGCAACGCCGCGUGAGUGAAGAAGGUUUUCGGAUCGUAAAGCUCUGUUGUAAGAGAAGAACGGGUGUGAGAGUGGAAAGUUCACACUGUGACGGUAUCUUACCAGAAAGGGACGGCUAACUACGU
rnacentral:rRNA from 1 species